rnacentral:rRNA from 1 species
AGUGAACGCUGGCGGUAGGCCUAACACAUGCAAGUCGAACGGCAGCACAGGAGAGCUUGCUCUCUGGGUGGCGAGUGGCGGACGGGUGAGGAAUACAUCGGAAUCUACUUUUUCGCGGGGGAUAACGUAGGGAAACUUACGCUAAUACCGCAUACGACCUACGGGUGAAGGCAGGGGAUCUUCGGACCUUGCGCGAUUGAAUGCGCCGAUGUCGGAUUAGCUAGUUGGCGGGGUAAAGGCCCACCAAGGCGACGAUCCGUAGCUGGUCUGAGAAGAUGAUCAGCCACACUGGACAGGAGACACAGUCCAGACUCCUACGGGAGGCAGCAGUGGGGAAUAUUGGACAAUGGGCGCAAGCCUGAUCCUGCCAUACCGCGUGGGUGAAGAAGGCCUUCGGGUUGUAAAGCCCUUUUGUUGGGAAAGAAAUCCAGCUGGUUAAUACCCGGUUGGGAUGACGGUACCCAAAGAAUAAGCACCGGCUAACUUCGUGCCAGCCGCCGCCGUAA